AUGUGCAACAAAUAUAUAUACUUCGAUCCACCUGUUCCCAUCUCGAACACAGUAGUUAAGCUCAUAAACGCCGAAAGUACUUGGCUGGAGACGGCCUGGGAGGAUAGGAAGCCGCUGAUU
rnacentral:rRNA from 1 species